UCCAACUUCCAGGAGGUG
rnacentral:snRNA from 1 species